GAUGGGAAACAGGUUAAUAUUCCUGUACUUGGUGUUACUGCGAAGGGGGGACGGAGAAGGCUAUGUUGGCCGGGCGACGGUUGUCCCGGUUUAAGCGUGUAGGCUGGUUUUCCAGGCAAAUCCGGAAAAUCAAGGCUGAGGCGUGAUGACGAGGCACUACGGUGCUGAAGCAACAAAUGCCCUGCUUCCAGGAAAAGCCUCUAAGCAUCAGGUAACAUCAAAUCGUACCCCAAACCGACACAGGUGGUCAGGUAGAGAAUACCAAGGCGCUUGAGAGAACUCGGGUGAAGGAACUAGGCAAAAUGGUGCCGUAACUUCGGGAGAAGGCACGCUGAUAUGUAGGUGAAGUCCCUUGCGGAUGGAGCUGAAAUCAGUCGAAGAUACCAGCUGGCUGCAACUGUUUAUUAAAAACACAGCACUGUGCAAACACGAAAGUGGACGUAUACGGUGUGACGCCUGCCCGGUGCCGGAAGGUUAAUUGAUGGGGUCAGCGCAAGCGAAGCUCUUGAUCGAAGCCCCGGUAAACGGCGGCCGUAACUAUAACGGUCCUAAGGUAGCGAAAUUCCUUGUCGGGUAAGUUCCGACCUGCACGAAUGGCGUAAUGAUGGCCAGGCUGUCUCCACCCGAGACUCAGUGAAAUUGAACUCGCUGUGAAGAUGCAGUGUACCCGCGGCAAGACGGAAAGACCCCGUGAACCUUUACUAUAGCUUGACACUGAACAUUGAGCCUUGAUGUGUAGGAUAGGUGGGAGGCUUUGAAGUGUGGACGCCAGUCUGCAUGGAGCCGGCCUUGAAAUACCACCCUUUAAUGUUUGAUGUUCUAACGUGGACCCGUGAUCCGGGUUGCGGACAGUGUCUGGUGGGUAGUUUGACUGGGGCGGUCUCCUCCUAAAGAGUAACGGAGGAGCACGAAGGUUGGCUAAUCCUGGUCGGACAUCAGGAGGUUAGUGCAAUGGCAUAAGCCAGCUUGACUGCGAGCGUGACGGCGCGAGCAGGUGCGAAAGCAGGUCAUAGUGAUCCGGUGGUUCUGAAUGGAAGGGCCAUCGCUCAACGGAUAAAAGGUACUCCGGGGAUAACAGGCUGAUACCGCCCAAGAGUUCAUAUCGACGGCGGUGUUUGGCACCUCGAUGUCGGCUCAUCACAUCCUGGGGCUGAAGUAGGUCCCAAGGGUAUGGCUGUUCGCCAUUUAAAGUGGUACGCGAGCUGGGUUUAGAACGUCGUGAGACAGUUCGGUCCCUAUCUGCCGUGGGCGCUGGAGAACUGAGGGGGGCUGCUCCUAGUACGAGAGGACCGGAGUGGACGCAUCACUGGUGUUCGGGUUGUCAUGCCAAUGGCACUGCCCGGUAGCUAAAUGCGGAAGAGAUAAGUGCUGAAAGCAUCUAAGCACGAAACUUGCCCCGAGAUGAGUUCUCCCUGACCCUUUAAGGGUCCUGAAGGAACGUUGAAGACGACGACGUUGAUAGGCCGGGUGUGUAAGCGCAGCGAUGCGUUGAGCUAACCGGUACUAAUGAACCGUGAGG
rnacentral:rRNA from 1 species